UCUUGACAGCUACCGUAGAGAGAACAAGUAGCUUUUCUUUGCUAGCUUGUUUUGUUUACCAUAGUUUUAUAUUUUGAUUAAUUGGACUUCUCAUUGAGCGUAGCCACAAGUACAUACGAUAUUAUUUUGAUCCAGCAUGCAAAUAAGAAGUGAAGCCGAGCGAGCAGCCAACGGAAGAAGCCCGUCCUCUUGGACCCGAAGAAGCUGAUGAAGAAGUUGAUCACCGUGGUGACGAAGAUGACCCCAGUGGCUACGUUGUUCAGGAUCCCGGCGACUAUCUGGAGACCCAGUGAGAAGGAGAUGAGAGUCAGGACGGCUGCGUAGUAUCUGAGAAGACCCUGACUCAUGUCAAGUCUGCAUAUGCCCAUGUUCGACGCAUGUGGGUGACCUUUGUUCUUCCCCUCGAAGCUAACUGUCACCCUGCUGUCUAAUUAGCAGAAAACACAUGCGGGGGGAAAAAAAUAUUUCACUCAUAUUACAUACCAUCCACCGCUAUUGUUAUACAAGUUUGGAAGGAAGCCGUAAUUACUUCAGUGGAGCUGACCCAAGUUGAUGGGUGGCUUUACAUGGAUAAAAUUCCAUUCAGAUUCUAUUUGAGUAUGCGGACCCCCAAGGAAGCUGCAGACUGAUUAAUAGUGCAUAUGCUAGCUAUGGGAAUCUUUUUAUUUGUCCAAGCAGCCGGACUAAUAAAAACAUUUUGUUACACUGGACCAAAUUCCAUCACACAUAAAUGCCAAAUUAAUCCAUUUUUUUUGUGUUUGGGGGCAAUAAUGUUGGAUUAGGUAUCAUUUGAUUGUGCAGGUGUACCUAAUAAAGUGUCUUAUGUGAUAAAAUAUUUGUAAAAAAAAAAAAAAAUAC